AUUGAACGCUGGCGGCAGGCCUAACACAUGCAAGUCGAACGGUAACAGGAAACAGCUUGCUGUUUCGCUGACGAGUGGCGGACGGGUGAGUAAUGUCUGGGAAACUGCCUGAUGGAGGGGGAUAACUACUGGAAACGGUAGCUAAUACCGCAUAACGUCGCAAGACCAAAGAGGGGGACCUUCGGGCCUCUUGCCAUCGGAUGUGCCCAGAUGGGAUUAGCUAGUAGGUGGGGUAACGGCUCACCUAGGCGACGAUCCCUAGCUGGUCUGAGAGGAUGACCAGCCACACUGGAACUGAGACACGGUCCAGACUCCUACGGGAGGCAGCAGUGGGGAAUAUUGCACAAUGGGCGCGAGCCUGAUGCAGCCAUGCCGCGUGUAUGAAGAAGGCCUUCGGGUUGUAAAGUACUUUCAGCGGGGAGGAAGGGAGUAAAGUUAAUACCUUUGCUCAUUGACGUUACCCGCAGAAGAAGCACCGGCUAACUCCGUG
rnacentral:rRNA from 1 species